GCCAACUCCUUCUCGAGCAUAAGCCAAAUCAACUUAGCCCAAUCGACCUUCUCAAAAUGCCCUUCCUUGAUCGCUUUAGUCACACUCAAAAUAUCGUCAGUCAUCAUCCAGGUAUCUUCAUGCAACAACAACCAAGUAGACACGAAAUCCUCUAUGAAUCCUAUCGAUUCUUCGCUCUCCACCUCUACCGCACUAUCCACCUUAUCCUUUUUCGCCGGCAGACUCAAUGCACGAGCCAAGUCAGCACGACUGACCUUGAUGCGACACCCAUUGACGUAACUAUGGCGACCAGUGGGGUUAAAAUUAGCAAUCAACUGUAUAAUAAGAUCGGUGCGAAUGUUGAUAUCGAAAAGCAGGUGGACGAAGUCCCAUAAGCCAAGUCGCCUUAGGAGAGCCUCAUGGCCUCAUGGGAUGCGAAAUCAAGGGUUUUGACGGGAACAAACGGGACUGGAUUAAAGGUUCCAACAAGAAUUUCGAGCCUUUUCUGAAUCUUCUUCUCCUGGUGAUGAUGUCGUUUACUGCGUUUUGAGCCGCCUCCGCCGCGGCGAGAGGCAGUGAAAUUGGCGACGACAGAGGUGGAGUUGAAGUGGGUAUCGGAGAUUGUUGGAGAAAUAGGGGUGAUAUCU
rnacentral:misc_RNA from 1 species